UAAUGCUGGACUGCUUCUAUUCAUUGGAGGGCUUCAGUGACAGUUCUGUUUUCCCUCCAGGGCAAAGGAGUCAGUCUGUAGCCUGCCUGUCCAUGCUGUUUUGGUUUUGCCUGUUCUAGAAGAUGUUGCUCUCUGGGGAGCUUCCUGAGAGUUACCACAGGCCUUUUGUAUUGUCCUCCUGUCUUACUGCAACACAUUGUAUACAAAAGAAUUGAAACCCAAUAAUCAGCAAGUCAAGAGUUUGAAGGCAUGAUUGCAUUUUUUCCUCUGAAAUCCAUCUACUGAAGCUGACAUCACAACAAGAAAAUAAAGGGGUUUAAGUAAAGAAAUGGAGCAGUGAAAGCUAUUUUUAAAGCAGAUUAUCUUCAGCUAUGCAUAAACCAAACACAUAGACAGGGAUCUAAUUCCUGUCAGUAAUUUCUUUGCUCUCCCA